AGUCACUGACAUUAGUACCCCUGUAGUCCCAGCCGUAAACUAUGCGCGUUAGGUGUAUCGGUGACCACGAGUCACCGAGGUGCCGAAGGGAAACCGUGAAACGUGCCGCCUGGGAAGUACGGUCGCAAGGCUGAAACUUAAAGGAAUUGGCGGGGAGCACCACAACGGGUGGAGCCUGCGGUUUAAUUGGACUCAACGCCGGGAAGCUCACCGGAUAAGACAGCGGAAUGAUUGCCGGGCUGAAGACUCUGCAUGACUAGCUG
rnacentral:rRNA from 1 species